UACGAAGGAUCCAAGCGUUAUCCGGAUUUAUUGGGUUUAAAGGGUGCGUAGGCGGGCUAUUAAGUCAGUGGUGAAAGCCCCAGCUUAACUUGGGAACUGCCAUUGAUACUGAUGGUCUUGAGUACACUUGAGGUGGGCGGAAUGUGUCAUGUAGCGGUGAAAUGACUUAGAUAUGACACAGAACACCGAUUGCGAAGGCAG
rnacentral:rRNA from 1 species